rnacentral:rRNA from 1 species
CACAUGCAAGUCGAACGAUGAAGCCCUUCGGGGUGGAUUAGUGGCGAACGGGUGAGUAACACGUGGGCAAUCUGCCCUUCACUCUGGGACAAGCCCUGGAAACGGGGUCUAAUACCGGAUAUUACUCCUGCCUGCAUGGGCGGGGGUUGAAAGCUCCGGCGGUGAAGGAUGAGCCCGCGGCCUAUCAGCUUGUUGGUGGGGUAAUGGCCCACCAAGGCGACGACGGGUAGCCGGCCUGAGAGGGCGACCGGCCACACUGGGACUGAGACACGGCCCAGACUCCUACGGGAGGCAGCAGUGGGGAAUAUUGCACAAUGGGCGAAAGCCUGAUGCAGCGACGCCGCGUGAGGGAUGACGGCCUUCGGGUUGUAAACCUCUUUCAGCAGGGAAGAAGCGAAAGUGACGGUACCUGCAGAAGAAGCGCCGGCUAACUACGUGCCAGCAGCCGCGGUAAUACGUAGGGCGCAAGCGUUGUCCGGAAUUAUUGGGCGUAAAGAGCUCGUAGGCGGCUUGUCACGUCGGAUGUGAAAGCCCGAGGCUUAACCUCGGGUCUGCAUUCGAUACGGGCUAGCUAGAGUGUGGUAGGGGAGAUCGGAAUUCCUGGUGUAGCGGUGAAAUGCGCAGAUAUCAGGAGGAACACCGGUGGCGAAGGCGGAUCUCUGGGCCAUUACUGACGCUGAGGAGCGAAAGCGUGGGGAGCGAACAGGAUUAGAUACCCUGGUAGUCCACGCCGUAAACGUUGGGAACUAGGUGUUGGCGACAUUCCACGUCGUCGGUGCCGCAGCUAACGCAUUAAG